GGGAGGAUGGCCGAGUGGUUAUGGCGUGUGGCUCAAGAUCUUGCAAUAAGAUUUUCGUCCAGGAAACUGGACUGAGUUUUCUCAUUACGAAAGUAGCAGGGGUUCGAAUCCCCUUCCUCUCA